rnacentral:rRNA from 1 species
GGGCCCGCACAAGCGGUGGAGCAUGUGGUUUAAUUCGAUGAUACGCGAGGAACCUUACCAGGGUUUAAAUGCAGAACGACAGGGGUGGAAACACCCCCUUCUUCGGACGGACUGCAAGGUGCUGCAUGGUUGUCGUCAGCUCGUGCUGUGAAGUGUCGGGUUAAGUCCCAUAACGAGCGCAACCCCCAUUUCUAGUUGCCAGCGGUUCGGCCGGGGACUCUAGAGAAACUGCCAGCGUAAGCUGUGAGGAAGGUGGGGAUGACGUCAAAUCAUCACGGCCCUUACAUCCUGGGCCACACACGUGCUACAAUGGUAGGGACAACAGGUUGCCAACCCGCGAGGGUGAG